rnacentral:rRNA from 1 species
CAAGCCUGAUGCAGCCAUGCCGCGUGGUAUGUAAGAAGGCCUUCGGGUUGUAAAGUACUUUCAGCAGUGAGGAAGGUGGGUAUGUUAAUAGCAUAUUCAUUUGACGUUAGCUGCAGAAGAAGCACCGGCUAACUCCGUGCCAGCAGCCGCGGUAAUACGGAGGGUGCGAGCGUUAAUCGGAAUUACUGGGCGUAAAGCGCAUGCAGGUGGUUUGUUAAGUCAGAUGUGAAAGCCCGGGGCUCAACCUCGGAAUUGCAUUUGAAACUGGCAAACUAGAGUACUGUAGAGGGGGUAGAAUUUCAGGUGUAGCGGUGAAAUGCGUAGAGAUCUGAAGGAAUACCGGUGGCGAAGGCGGCCCCCUGGACAGAUACUGACACUCAGAUGCGAAAGCGUGGGGAGACAAACAGGAUUAGACUACCCUGGUAG